GCCUCCAUGGGGUAGUGGUACUGACCCAUCGACCUGAGCUUUCGCUCAUUAGAUGUGGUCGGCGGUUCGAAUCCGCCUGGGGGUU